AGAAUCAACGCUGGCGGCGUGCCUAACACAUGCAAGUCGAACGAGAAAGUGGAGCAAUCCAUGAGUAAAGUGGCGCACGGGUGAGUAACACGUGACUAACCUACCCUUGAGUGGGGGAUAACCUAGGGAAACCUGGGCUAAUACCGCAUAAUACCUUCGGGUCAAAGGAGCAAUUCGCUUAAGGAGGGGGUCGCGGCCGAUUAGUUAGUUGGCGGGGUAAUGGCCCACCAAGACGAUGAUCGGUAUCCGGCCUGAGAGGGCGCACGGACACACUGGAACUGAAACACGGUCCAGACUCCUACGGGAGGCAGCAGUGGGGAAUUUUGCGCAAUGGGGGAAACCCUGACGCAGCAACGCCGCGUGGAGGAUGAAGCCCCUUGGGGCGUAAACUCCUUUCGAUCGGGACGAUUAUGACGGUACCGGAAGAAGAAGCCCCGGCUAACUUCGUGCCAGCAGCCGC
rnacentral:rRNA from 1 species